rnacentral:rRNA from 1 species
GACGAACGCUGGCGGCGUGCUUAACACAUGCAAGUCGAACGGAAAGGCCCUGCUUUUGUGGGGUGCUCGAGUGGCGAACGGGUGAGUAACACGUGAGUAACCUGCCCUUGACUUUGGGAUAACUUCAGGAAACUGGGGCUAAUACCGGAUAGGAGCUCCUGCUGCAUGGUGGGGGUUGGAAAGUUUCGGCGGUUGGGGAUGGACUCGCGGCUUAUCAGCUUGUUUGUGGGGUAGUGGCUUACCAAGGCUUUGACGGGUAGCCGGCCUGAGAGGGUGACCGGCCACAUGGGGACUGAGAUACGGCCCAGACUCCUACGGGAGGCAGCAGUGGGGAAUAUUGCACAAUGGGCGGAAGCCUGAUGCAGCAACGCCGCGUGCGGGAUGACGGCCUUCGGGUUGUAAACCGCUUUCGCCUGUGACGAAGCGUGAGUGACGGUAAUGGGUAAAGAAGCACCGGCUAACUACGUG